rnacentral:rRNA from 1 species
ACUGAUGCAGCCAUGCCGCGUGUAUGAAGAAGGCCUUCGGGUUGUAAAGUACUUUCAGCGGGGAGGAAGGGAGUAAAGUUAAUACCUUUGCUCAUUGACGUUACCCGCAGAAGAAGCACCGGCUAACUCCGUGCCAGCAGCCGCGGUAAUUA